rnacentral:rRNA from 1 species
CCUACGGGCUGCACCAGUGGGGAAUAUUGGACAAUGGGCGAAAGCCUGAUCCAGCAAUGCCGCGUGUGUGAAGAAGGUCUUCGGAUUGUAAAGCACUUUCGACGGGGACGAUGAUGACGGUACCCGUAGAAGAAGCCCCGGCUAACUUCGUGCCUGCAGCCGCGGUAAUACGAAGGGGGCUAGCGUUGCCCGGAAUGACUGAGCGUAAAGGGCGCGUAGGCGGUUUAUGCAGUCAGAUGUGAAAUCCCCGGGCUUAACCUGGGAACUGCAUUUGAGACGCAUAGACUAGAGGUCGAGAGAGGGUUGUGGAAUUCCCAGUGUAGAGGUGAAAUUCGUAGAUAUUGGGGAGAACACCGGUGGCGAAGGCGGCAACCUGGCUCGAUACUGACGCUGAGGCGCGAAAGCGUGGGGAGCAAACAGGAUUAGAUACCCUCGUAGUC